rnacentral:rRNA from 1 species
GAUGGCGAAGGCAGGUCUCUGGGCUGUAACUGACGCUGAGAAGCGAAAGCAUGGGGAGCGAACAGGAUUAGAUACCCUGGUAGUCCAUGCCGUAAACGUUGGGCACUAGGUGUGGGGGACAUUCCACGUUUUCCGCGCCGUAGCUAACGCAUUAAGUGCCCCGCCUGGGGAGUACGGCCGCAAGGCUAAAACUCAAAGAAAUUGACGGGGGCCCGCACAAGCGGCGGAGCAUGCGGAUUAAUUCGAUGCAACGCGAAGAACCUUACCAAGGCUUGACAUAUACUGGACCGCAUCAGAGAUGGUGUUUCCCUUCGGGGCUGGUAUACAGGUGGUGCAUGGUUGUCGUCAGCUCGUGUCGUGAGAUGUUGGGUUAAGUCCCGCAACGAGCGCAACCCUCGUUCUAUGUUGCCAGCACGUUAUGGUGGGGACUCAUAGGAGACUGCCGGGGUCAACUCGGAGGAAGGUGGGGAUGACGUCAAAUCAUCAUGCCCCUUAUGUCUUGGGCUUCACGCAUGCUACAAUGGCCGGUACAGAGGGUUGCGAUACUGUGAGGUGGAGCUAAUCCCUAAAAGCCGGUCUCAGUUCGGAUUGGGGUCUGCAACUCGACCCCAUGAAGUCGGAGUCGCUAGUAAUCGCAGAUCAGCAACGCUGCGGUGAAUACGUUCCCGGGCCUUGUACACACCGCCCGUCAAGUCACGAAAGUUGGUAACACCCAAAGCCGGUGGCCUAACCUUUUUGGAGGGAGCCGUCUAAGGUGGGAUUGGCGAUUGGGACUAAGUCGUAACAAGGUAGCCGUACCGGAAGG